GGGGAAUGUUACAUAAGAGCCCUACUGGUGUGCAGGAAGUCGAAAGCAGCCUUUAGAUUCAAAAAGCAGGGUUUCCACCCAGCCCAGAAAGGCAGGAAUAGAAACGGGUUAUUUCUGGCCCCUCACCACCGCCCAGCGCCAGGCUGCUCAGCUUCUUGGUGGAUGAGGAAACUGACCAGACAGUAGAAGAAACAAGGCUGGAGCCUGGAUCCGCACAACCCAAAGUCUCCAAGGCCUGAGGACACGGGAAUGAACCCACCCCCGUCUCACCUUGGCAGCAGCUGUGACUGCGGCAUUGGCAGCCAGAUUCAGGCCCCGCUUGCCCACCCGCAUCAUGGUCUCAUAGCUCUUGUCUCGGGCUUGUGUGAUAUAUUCGUCGAUCUCCUGCGGGGAUGGGAGACUGAGAGGGAAGAGUCUGGGUCCUGAGACACAAGGAGCAGCCAGUGGACCUCACCAUGACAGUAUGAUAUCCGUUAGUGUCUCUGCUGUGGUGAAGAAGGCGAAGACAAUCCAGUACAUCAUCCAUUUUACCUGGGGGACAAAGGACAGCAUUAAAUGGGGCCUAGGCCUGAGGGUAUCUAAACACCAAGGUCCCCGGCUGCCUGAAUACCAGCUCUGAACACCCGGGCUAAGCCAAGGAAACCCAGGACCCCAUGUUGCUGCCUGCUUUCUACUGAAGUCCUGGGAGAAAGUCCCCAGGACCUUUGUCUAGGUGGAGAAUAGGGAACAUCCCAGAACCACUUUUGCUCAGGGUUUCGUUGGAUAGCAUGGCACGAAGCCAUAGUCUCCCCCCACCUGUAAUGUGACAAAAUGCCCCGCCCCCCGUUUGUUAAAUGUUGUUCACUUACAUAUUCCUUCACGUUUUUGGUCUUCACGGCCUUGUAGGAAGAGUAGGCUGGGUACAGGGUGCCAAAGAUGAGCCUAGGGAGGCAGGCAUGGUUACUGGGCCCUCCUCCCUCCCAGCUCUGCAUCAGCCCUUGGGGGCGGGGGGCUAAGGCGCAAAGGAACAGAGCUCCGAAGAAGCAUCAGCGGGCUGAGGAGCUCUAGUAAAGAACUAAGGUCAGAGCAGUAAAGACUCCAAGGUCACAUCCAGCCCUUUCCCUAGACCCAGAGGCUAGAGGAUCCAAAGUGGUCCUUUCAGCCAGAAUCCUUGGCGAUGCACAAACAUGCUUUGGGAGUUAA